AAUAUUGGACAAUAGGGGCAACCCUGAUCCAGCCAUGCCGCGUGAGCGAUGAAGGUCUNCGGAUCNUNAAGCUCUGUCCUUGGGGNCGAAGGUCUUCGGACUUGACGGUACCUAAGGAGGAAGCCCCGGCUAACUACGUGCCAGCAGCCGCGGUAAUACGUAGGGGACAAGCGUUGUCCGGAAUUAUUGGGCGUAAAGGGUGCGUAGGCGGCCUUUUAAGUCAGAUGUGAAAGCCCACGGCUUAACCGUGGGACUGCAUUUGAAACUGGAGGGCUUGAGUAUCGGAGAGGGUAGUGGAAUUCCCAGUGUAGCGGUGGAAUGCGUAGAUAUUGGGAGGAACACCAGUGGCGAAGGCGACUACCUGGACGAAAACUGACGCUGCGGCACGAAAGCUAGGGGAGCAAAC
rnacentral:rRNA from 1 species